AAAAGACUCAAUUUCAACAAGCUAGCUCGUACCGUGAAAUUUUCAUUUGGUAAUGGAAAGGGUUCCAUUGCAAACCCUGUUUCACUUCCCCCCAGUUCUCCAAUCUCCCAGCAAUAAGAGAUGGAAAGAUGCUAGACUAUGGACUUUUAUGGCCAAUUUGCUUUACUAGCAGCGAAAAGAUUGGCAAGAAGAGGGCUUUUGAAGGCUAUUGGAUUCAAUACAGCUAUUAUGUGCUUGUCCUGUUUUUGCUGCAUCAAUGCUACAACAGAAUGAACCUCAAUUUAUUCGGUAAAUUGUUGUAUGUGUUGGCUCUAUUUCCUUUCAUUGUUACCUUUUUGUUCCUUUAUAAGUUCAGAAGAUGGUUCUUUUCCAUAAAUAAACUAUGCUAGAACUCAUAUGAGAUUUUGCGACUAUGAAUGUAUAAGUUCAAGAUACUGAAGCUUGAUAGUGGAGUUACAAGGGAGGGAACAAAAUACGAAUUGGAUACUUAAACAAUGUGCUAUGGUCUUGGCCAUGACCUGAUACAUCUUCACAUUCCCCGGCAGCCUGAACCACCUCAGAAAUUGCUUGCUGCUACACUCAGACUAUGCCAUCUGCCAUUCUCCUCCUCUUACUCAACUUUCUUCCCGCCACAGAUGUGAAUUACUAAGCUGUUUUGCAUUAAGUUCUUGAAAUAGCAACACAAGAAUCCAAUAGCAAUAACAAGCAAAACUACAUUCUUAAUCUUCUCAUCUUUUUUUUCAUGCCUGAGAGAUUUCAGUUUCAAUCUCUUCAAACAAUUGAAUAGUGUUGGAGCUAGAUUAACAAAUUUGCAGUUGCAGGAAUCAGGAAUGCAAGAAGCACAGAUUGAUGAUCUUUGAUCAAAGCUUGAAUUAAGACUGGAAUGAUCAAGCACAAGCAAUCCAAACUUCACAAGACUGGUCCUGAAAAAGCUUCACAGCAGUGAAGUAAAGAAGAAAAAAAUUAAAAUGUUUUGAAUUCUAAGGCACCAGCAGUUAUAGAGGAAAUGUAUUUCUUGGUUGAAAAAUUGAUACUUUUAUUUCAUUCAAAAUGAAGUACAUUUACAAAAUUUCUCAACUACCAGAAAAAAAUACAACCUUUACAACUGAAUUCAAAUUUUUUAAAAAUAACAGCUAACACCAACUUAUUCCAAGAUUUUCUGUUGCUAUUCAUACUUAAAAAAAUCCUUUGAUGUUGGAGCUAAAAUGCCAAUACUUCAACAAAUAGGAAACAGAAGUCCAGUCCUUGAUUUGAAUCCACAACUUGAAAGAAGAUAAUCGAUUGAAGAUUUUUGGAAAUAAUUGCCAUCAUUUCUUUUCUUUCCAUUGGAAGGAUUUUGGAAUCAGUGUCAACAAAUUUGUAACAAACCAGUAAAACUUUAGCUACUUUUCUGAGGAAACAGGAAGAACACACCUCUGAAGUCAUGAAGAAGCGAUCCUAAUAUCACACCACUCGGAAGAUCUAGAUAGACUAUACACUAUCAUAUAGCUGCGCAGAAGAUAAACAGCAAGAAAAGAAGUUCAGCUGCUUCAAUAAUCAAACAGAUGAUCCAACACACCUUCCUGAGUAUACUCAUUGGAAUACAAGACCAAGAUUGCUUCAUCUACUUAUCAACAAAAAUAUAGAGCAGUUAAAUUGGAAAAUAAAAGAGAAGUAAACAAGUUAUUUUAAACAAAAUAAAAUAUAAGAUAAGAAAGAAUGCACCUGCAUUCGACUUUGCGUUGCAUCUUCUGACUAGAUCUUCGCUUUCAGUGGGUUUACUGAUUCCUUUCGCAUUUGAAACAGGCAAGCUUCCUGCCGUGUAGAGGAGUUAGAGAUGCAAACAUAAUAGUGGUACCAACUAAAAGAUCAUCCAAUCAAACAUAAUCAAGAAUUAAACCAAAUUGUAUUUGCAAGAAUUAUUAGUAAAAGUCUAUUUCUGGUAGUGCAACCCUUUUGUAAUUAUGAUCUUCAGAAUUACAUUUCUAACCACAAAAUCCAAGUGCAUUAGAGCAAGCCUACUUUUCUAAUUCCACCACACUUACUUAGAGUUGAAAAUGUGAUGGUUCAGCUAUAUUUCAACAGUAAUAAGGACAUAAGAACAGCUAUACCUCUUUGAAGAUGGUGACGCAUAAAGACUAAUGGCCAGCACUCUUGUUCUUAGCCGGAAAUCUGAUAGCAUUUCCCAUCGGAAUUUCAUAUCUUCUUUGGUUCUGCAAAUUUACUGCAGCUAAAUAUUACUUAAACAAGGUAAUUGAGUUCUCUCAUUCACCCUUGUAAACUCUUGACAUUUCAGGGCAUAACAAAUUAUGCAGGGAAAAUUUUCUAACAGCUAAUCUACAAGUGAUUUGCUAAUCUCCUUUUUCUUUAUUUUGAUUUCAUUCGGGAAGUCUUUAACUUUUGCCUGCAUGAACAUAACAUUGUUCAUAUACCAACCCAUCUUUAAAGAUGUUGGGAUGCCAAUAUAAAGUUGAAAAUUUACCAUCUAAUUGAAGUAAAAUGCAUCAUCUACUCUUCCAAUAAAACAAUUCAUUGCAUGCGGAGAAUAAGGGAAAGAAAGGAAAGAGACAGAGAGGAGAAAAAAAAGAACAAACAGACAAAUCAGAACCCAAAAUGAGACAAAAUUAAACAAACUACUUCCUCUCCCCCCACACAUUUGAAUCUAACUGCAAAGUAAAACCCAGAAGAGCAGGAAGCGAGAGAAGGAACAUACAAGAUCGGUUUUGAAGGAGGGUUAUGGAGGAGUGAUUCAAGGCGAUCAAGCUUGACUCCGACUUCCAAAAGCUUGGAUUGAGCAUUUUCUCUAAGCCUGUGUUCUUGUGCAAGGCCCUGGUUUCUUGAUCCUGCUUUCUGUGUCCUCCAUCAACCUGGACACUUCUUGUGCUUCUCUUAUCCAUGCAUCUACGGCUAGUGAGUGUUCAGUCAUCUCUUUGAGAUCAAUCAACAGAGAACACUCACUUCCAAGUUCCACCUCCCUCUCUUAGGUUUCAUUGGCCAUUUGCUAAUCAGAUAAGGACAAAGAAUGGAGUUUGAGCCCAUUUGAUUAUCCAGCUAAGAUGGUAUACUAAUUAAUGAUAAUUAUCCUCAUCUCAAGACACAAAUGGCAAGUAGGAUUUCUUUUAUUUGCAUCAGUGAUGAGCCUAAACUUUGU
rnacentral:misc_RNA from 1 species